rnacentral:rRNA from 1 species
UACGUAGGUGACAAGCGUUGUCCGGAUUUAUUGGGCGUAAAGAGCUCGUAGGUGGUUCGGUAAGUCGGAUGUGAAAUCUCCAGGCUCAACCUGGAGGGGUCAUUCGAUACUGCCGUGACUAGAGGUCGGUAGGGGAGUGUGGAAUUCCUGGUGGAGCGGUGAAAUGCGCAGAUAUCAGGAGGAACACCCGUAGCGAAGGCGGCACUCUGGGCCGAUACUGACACUGAGGAGCGAAAGCGUGGGGAGCGAACAGG